AUAGAUUGUGUUCUAAUAUAGGUCACUGCAUUAAAGUCACAAUUGGAUGAACAAAAUAAACGAAAUGAAGAACGUGACAAAAGACUUGAUGCAAUCAUGAACUUCUUUUCUCAAAAUUAUCAAGGUCAAUUACCUCCUGAGUUGACUAUGUUCAAUCCUGCACCGGUUUCUGAUCAAGGAAGUGUGCCAACUAAUACAACAAGUUCUGGACAUGAGGAAAAUCAUAUGUGAUAGUUGAAGAAUAUAAUAUAAUGUGGAAGUUAAUUGAAUCAUUUUAUGUUUUGAGAACUAUUGUAGUACUUCAUGAUAGUUUUUGCUGACUAAUAUUGUACUUGAAUUUGAAUUUGAAUUCGUAUAUUUGUUAUACUUUGAUAUACAUUUAGUCAUCUAUAAA